AUUGAACGCUGGCGGCAUGCCUUACACAUGCAAGUCGAACGGUAACAGGUCUUCGGAUGCUGACGAGUGGCGAACGGGUGAGUAAUACAUCGGAACGUGCCUAGUAGUGGGGGAUAACUACUCGAAAGAGUGGCUAAUACCGCAUGAGAUCUACGGAUGAAAGCAGGGGAUCGCAAGACCUUGUGCUACUAGAGCGGCCGAUGGCAGAUGAGGUAGUUGGUGGGAUAAAAGCUUACCAAGCCGACGAUCUGUAGCUGGUCUGAGAGGACGAUCAGACACACUGGGACUGGGACACGGCCCAGACUGCUACGGGAGGCAGCAGUGGGGAAUUUUGGACAAUGGGCGCAAGCCUGAUCCAGCAAUGCCGCGUGCAGGAUGAAGGCCUUCGGAUUGUAAACUGCUUUUGUACGGAACGAAAAGCCCCGGGUUAAUACCCUGGGGUCAUGACGGUACCGUAAGAAUAAGCACCGGCUAACUACGUGCCAGCCGCCGCCGUAA
rnacentral:rRNA from 1 species